GGGCCCGCACAAGCGGUGGAGCAUGUGGUUUAAUUCGAUGAUACGCGAGGAACCUUACCAGGGUUUAAAUGCAGAACGACAGGGUGGAAACACCCCCUUCUUCGGACGGACUGCAAGGUGCUGCAUGGUUGUCGUCAGCUCGUGCUGUGAAGUGUCGGGUUAAGUCCCAUAACGAGCGCAACCCCCAUUUCUAGUUGCCAGCGGUUCGGCCGGGGACUCUAGAGAAACUGCCAGCGUAAGCUGUGAGGAAGGUGGGGAUGACGUCAAAUCAUCACGGCCCUUACAUCCUGGGCCACACACGUGCUACAAUGGUGGGGACAACAGGUUGCCAACCCGCGAGGGUGAGCUAAUCUCCAAAAGUCGUCUCAGUUCGGAUUGUCCUCUGCAACUCGAGGGCAUG
rnacentral:rRNA from 1 species